rnacentral:tRNA from 1 species
AGCCCCGUAGUGUAGUGGUCAAUCAUCCAAGGCCCUGGACCUUGGGACGGAGGUUCGAAGCCUCCCGGGGCUA